rnacentral:tRNA from 1 species
GUUUUUAUAGUUUAAUAUAAAACAUUGGUCUUGUAAACCAAAAAUAAAAAAUUUAUUUAAAAACU